rnacentral:rRNA from 1 species
CAUAGCGACUAUCGUGGCAUAUCAAUAAGCGGAGGAAAAGAAACUAACAAGGAUUCCCUUAGUAACGGCGAGUGAAGCGGGAAGAGCUCAAAUUUGAAAUCUUCAAGGUUUUACCUUGACGAAUUGUAGUUUAAAGAAGUGUUUUCUGUUGAAGUUUUGGUAAAAGUUCUUUGGAAUAGGACAUCAUAGAGGGUGAGAAUCCCGUAUUUGACCAUUACUUUCCAGCUGUGUGAUACACUUUCAAAGAGUCGGAUUGUUUGGGAAUGCAGUCCAAAAUGGGUGGUAAAUUUCAUCUAAAGCUAAAUAUUGGCGAGAGACCGAUAGCGAACAAGUACCGUGAGGGAAAGAUGAAAAGAACUUUGAAAAGAGAGUUAAACAGUACGUGAAAUUGUCAAAAGGGAAGCGUUUGACACCAGUGUUGUUUAGUUGAAAAUCAAUUCAAUAAUUUUUGAUUUUGAGUAGUAUUGACUUCAUCAGCUUGCUGCUUUCUUUUCGGAAAUUAUUGAAUGCACUUUUCAGUUAACAAGUCAACAUCAAUUUCUUUUGUUGUAAAAGGGUAAGAGGAAGGUGGCUUACGCUUCGGCGUAAGUGUCUAUAGCCUUUUACCUCUGCAAUCGGAGAGAUUGAGGACAGCAGCGUAGACUCUUCGGGGUUAGAUACACUUGUGCUAAGCUAUAGCCUUGUAUAGACAACUUGUUGACUAUGCUCAGUCAUGUAGCUUACUCGCUUGUGCUAUUUUACCUACGCUUAGGAUGUUGACGCGCGUGUGUGCGU